rnacentral:rRNA from 1 species
CAGUCGCCACGGUAAUACGAAGGGGGCUAGCGUUGUUCGGAUUUACUGGGCGUAAAGGGCGCGUAGGCGGACUGAUAUGUCAGGGGUGAAAUCCCAAGGCUCAACCUUGGAACUGCCUUUGAUACUGUUUGUCUUGAGUUCGAGAGAGGUAAGUGGAACUGCGAGUGUAGAGGUGAAAUUCGUAGAUAUUCGCAAGAACACCAGUGGCGAAGGCGGCUUACUGGCUCGAAACUGACGCUGAGGCGCGAAAGCGUGGGGAGCAAACAGGAUUAGAUACCCCAGUAGUCCCUGUCUCUUAUAC